GCCGACGACCGGCGCACGGGUGCGCAACGCGUAUACAAUCUACCUUAUGCUGAGGGAUAGCCCAGAGAAAUUUGGAUUAAGACCUCAUGGUAUCGGAAGACGGCAUCGUUUUCUGAUUAAAGGUUACGGCAUAAGAUGAGUAUGCGUCCCAUUAGCUAGUUGGUGUGGUAACGGCACACCAAGGCAACGAUGGGUAGGGGUCCUGAGAGGGAGAUCCCCCACACUGGUACUGAGACACGGACCAGACUCCUACGGGAGGCAGCAGUGAGGAAUAUUGGACAAUGGACGAAAGUCUGAUCCAGCCAUGCCGCGUGCAGGAAGACGGUCCUAUGGAUUGUAAACUGCUUUUAUACGGGAAGAAUAAGGGCUACGUGUAGCCCGGUGACGGUACCGUAAGAAUAAGGAUCGGCUAACUCCGUGCCAGCAGCCGCGGUAAUACGGAGGAUCCAAGCGUUAUCCGGAAUCAUUGGGUUUAAAGGGUCCGUAGGCGGACUAUUAAGUCAGGGGUGAAAGUCUGCAGCUCAACUGUAGAAUUGCCUUUGAUACUGGUAGUCUUGAGUUAUGGUGAAGUGGCUAGAAUAUGUAGUGUAGCGGUGAAAUGCAUAGAUAUUACAUAGAAUACCGAUUGCGAAGGCAGGUCACUAACCAUACACUGACGCUGAUGGACGAAAGCGUGGGGAGCGAACAGGAUUAGAUACCCUGGUAGUCCACGCCGUAAACGAUGGAUACUAGCUGUUCGGACUUCGGUCUG
rnacentral:rRNA from 1 species